rnacentral:rRNA from 1 species
GAUGAACGCUGGCGGCGUGCCUAAUACAUGCAAGUCGAGCGAACAGACGAGGAGCUUGCUCCUCUGACGUUAGCGGCGGACGGGUGAGUAACACGUGGAUAACCUACCUAUAAGACUGGGAUAACUUCGGGAAACCGGAGCUAAUACCGGAUAAUAUAUUGAACCGCAUGGUUCAAUAGUGAAAGACGGUUUUGCUGUCACUUAUAGAUGGAUCCGCGCCGCAUUAGCUAGUUGGUAAGGUAACGGCUUACCAAGGCAACGAUGCGUAGCCGACCUGAGAGGGUGAUCGGCCACACUGGAACUGAGACACGGUCCAGACUCCUACGGGAGGCAGCAGUAGGGAAUCUUCCGCAAAGGGCGAAAGCUUGACGGAGCAACGCCGCGUGAGUGAUGAAGGUCUUCGGAUCGUAAAGCUCUGUUAUUAGGGAAGAACAAAUGUGUAAGUAACUAUGCACGUCUUGACGGUACCUAAUCAGAAAGCCACGGCUAACUACGUG